CGUAGAAUGACAUUUAUCAGCUAUAAACGCCAUCGCCUUGGAAACCCACAUGAGUCAACAAAGACGAUAUGCAAAGAAGUCUAACACUGAUACACACGCACCCAAAAUGUACCCAAAGCCUGUCACCCAGUUUGGCUAAAAUGGGACGUUUGAGAGGACUUCAAAAUCCUCUUCCAGUAAAGAAAACUCCCUGUCACAUCUCGCAGGACUAAAGAGUGGGACUUGAGCACGACUACAGUAAAAAGGACUCUUUCAUUCAGCAUUACACACGCCAAUUACACCCACGGACCCUUUACAACACGGCUUUGUUCCCCCUUCACCAGAAAGAAUUGCCCUCUCAUCGCUGACGCAGGACUUUGACUCAAUCUUAGUCAAACGAGAGCGAUUGGAAAACCUUUAUACAAAUGGGCGUCCGUUAGAUGGCACCAGUGCUUCAAUGAACACACCGAUCAUCUGCUGAACGAUUCGCUCGGAGCUCGAGCCUCUCAUGAUGAAUCAUAAACACUUUUAUCCCAUGAACAUCGCAGAAACAGAAAUCUAUACAAACAUGAAGCUUCGGGGAGAAAAAGAUGGGUGUUUUUUUGCAAAAGUUGCAACAAUUAUUAUUAUAUUAUUGUUUUAUUUAACAAAUGGUUGUGGAAAUAAUUUACAUGAGAUGCUUUAUUUGCACACACACACACACACACACACACAUAUAUGAUUUUUCCUUGGUGGUAUGUGGACAGACCAUAAUUACAGGAAGAAAAGAAACCAACACUGUAGUGCUGGUAUGGGUUUGU